CACUAGAUAGCUAAAAGCUAGCAAUGGUCUCUUAAACCACUCCAUAGUAGUUUAGCGCCUACUUCUAAUG
rnacentral:tRNA from 1 species